rnacentral:miRNA from 1 species
GCCGGCUGGAAGGGUUUCCUUCCAGCCAGCAAGGUACAUGUACCUCAAUGGCUGGAAGGAAAACCUUCCAGUCAGCAAGGUACAUGUACCUCGUUGACCGGAAGGAAACCCUUCCAGUCGGC